rnacentral:rRNA from 1 species
AGAGUUUGAUUAUGGCUCAGAUUGAACGCUGGCGGCGUGCCUAACACAUGCAAGUCGAGCGGUAACAGGUGUAGCAAUACAUGCUGACGAGCGGCGAACGGGUGAGUAAUGCUUCGGAAUCUACCCAAUGGCGGGGAAUAACUAGCCGAAAGGUUAGCUAAUACCGCAUAAGCCCUACGGGGGAAAGCAGGGGAUCGUAAGACCUUGCACCGAUGGAUGAGCCGAAGCCGGAUUAGCUAGUUGGUAGGGUAACGGCCUACCAAGGCGACGAUCCGUAGCUGGUCUGAGAGGACGACCAGCCACACUGGGACUGAGACACGGCCCAGACUCCUACGGGAGGCAGCAGUGGGGAAUAUUGGACAAUGGGGGAAACCCUGAUCCAGCGACGCCGCGUGUGUGAAGAAGGCCUGCGGGUUGUAAAGCACUUUUAGUGGGGAUGAAAAGUUCAGGGCUAAUAUCCUUGGAUCUUGACCUAACCCAAAGAAAAAGCACCGGCUAACUCUGUGCCAGCCGCUGC